UAGUGAGUCCGCCAGAUCAGCUGCAGUAGGGAUGCGCGAAUUGAACAAUUUUCCUGUCCUGCUAAUCAUUCAAAAUCUAACGAGUGCUUUUGGGUGUCAGGGAAAAUUUAUGGAGUAGAAAGUACAUUAUUUUCUUUAGGAAUGUAGUGGAGUAAAAGUAGAAGUUGUCAAAAUUAUCAAAAGUUAAGUACAGAUACCCCCAAAAACUACUUACGUAGUACUUAAAAUAUUUGUACUUAAGUACUUUACACCACUGAUUGCAGGGAAUACUGACUGAAGAUGUUCCUCCCUACGAGGCCCAUGAGACUGUGUAGGGAUGUGAUUUGAAGAGAACUGUGACUGAAGGAGUGGGAUGUUUUUAUUUUUGUAUUUUGUUUUGAUGUCGUUGCUUCCGCAAUGGACAUGUAUUUAUUUCUACAGUUUACUAACCGUACAGUAGGUGGAGGCAGACACGUUAUAUUUGUGUAAAUGUCAGUAUACCAGAGAAGAAGAUGACGCUGUUGUACUGUCGUAGAGGGGAACAGGAAGUUCCGGGUGGCAAACGACAGAACUGUGUUGUUAUGUCGAUAUUGGUUGUGUCCGUUUCAACUGUAUUAUUGUAGGCCGACUCAGAUUAAGUCUGAGGCCGGUAACAUCAACAGUGAGGACAAACCCAGCCUGCCACUCUCCUUCCACACUGAGUAGAAACCUACAGUCACUGGGUCCUGAUUGUGACAGUGGAGCCCAGUUUGCACCGCAGGAUCCAGAGAUGGCAUCAGUGAAGCUGGAGGACUGCAGUCAAACACUGGAGCGGAAUGUCAACAUUAAAGAUGAAGAAGAAGAGGAGGAGAAGAUUAGGACAACUGUUAGUCAUUGUAAAAGCUGGUUCUAUCCAUAAGUUAUCUUCAUAUAUUAGACCUCCAUAAGUUAUGACCCAGUCUAUUGCUAGGUUGAAUUCUGUAAUUCUGACAUUACACAUCCCUGAACACCUCAAGACUUCACAGCAAAGCAAAACAUUUUAAAACUUGUAACGCCUGCCUUUUCCCACACAUUGUUUUAAGAACGUUGAAAAUGUUUAAUGCCCUCAAUCACCUUGUUAGGCAUAUCACAUUUCAAAAUAGGCCAUGGCAUCAUUACUGUCAAUAUUGAAUUAUAAUUUGUUUGCUGCACAGAAUAUCAGAUCUCAACAACGAUUGGAGAAGUGAUGAACAUAACCAGUAGACUACCACAUCCUGAUGAUUUAUAUCUCAUACAUAUAUAUUUAAUAUUUUCUAUAUCAAGUUGUAGAAACAUCUCAAGGAUGAUCAAUGGAAACAGGAUGCACCUGAGCUCAAUUCAAAAGUUUGGGGUCACUUAACACCAGUCUCAUCGUCAACAGUGAAGAGGCGACUCCGGGAUGCUGGCCUUCUUGGCAGAGUUGCAAAGGCCAGUUUUAUUGCUUCUUUAAUGAGCACCACAGUUUUCAGCUGUACUAACAUGAAUUCAAAAGGGUUUUCUAAUGAUCAAUUAGCCUUUUAAAAUUAUAAACUUGGAUUAGCUAACACAACAUGCCAUUGGAUCACAGGAGUGAUGGUUGCUGAUAAUGGGCCUCUGUACGCCUAUGUAGAUAUUCCAUAAAAUAUCUGCCGUUUCCAGCUACAAUAGUCAUUUACAACAAUAACAAUGUCUUGACUGUAUUUCUAAUCAAUUUGAUGUUAUUUUAAUGGACAAACAAUGUGCUUUUCUUUCAAAACAAGGACAUUUCUAAGUGACCCCAAACAUUUGAACAGUAGUGGAUAUUUAAUAUUUUAUAUAUCAAGUUGUAGAAACAUCUCAAGGAUGAUCAAUGGAAACAGGAUGCAUCUGAACUCAAUUUUGAGUCUCUUGUUUUAAAAAAAUAAUUAAUUUGCAAAAUUUUCUAAACUUGUUUUAGCUUUGUCAUUAUGGGGUAUUGUUUGUAGAUUGCUGAUGAUAUUUUUGUAUCUAAUUUUAGAAUAAGGCUGUAACAUAACAAAAUGUGGAAAAAGUCAAGGGGUCUGAAUACUUUCCGAGGGCACUGUCAGACCCCUUCCCAUUUUUCCCGUUUUGAUACGUUACAGCCUUAUUCUAAAAUUGAUUACAUGUUUUUCCUCGUCAAUCUACACACAAUACCCCAUAAUGACAAAGCCAAAACAGGUUUUUAGAAAUUCUUGCAAAUGUAAAAAAAAAAUAAUAAUGAUAAGGAUUGCUUAUUUAAGUAAGUUUUCCCAGACCUUUUGCUAUGAGAUGAUCCUUGAGAUGUUUCUACAACAUGGAGUCCACCUGUGAUAAAUUCAAUUGAUUGGACAUGAUUUGGACAGGCACACACCUGUCUAUGUAAGGUCCCACAGUUGACAGUGCAUGUCAGAGUAAAAAACCAAGUCAUGAGGUCGAAGGAUUUGUCCGUAGAGCUCCGUGACAGGAUUGUAUCGGCACAGAUCUGGGGACCGGUACCAAAACAUUUCUGCAGCAUUAAAGGUCCCCAAGAACA